rnacentral:misc_RNA from 1 species
GUCUAAUACGACCAAGCUAAUAUUGCUUGAUUCACUUCUAAAAGAGGUGUGUAUCAGCAACAGCUGUGGCAGGUCGCUCACCUUGAGUUAGCUCGGGUUGAGUGUCUGCCUUAGUUGUAUGCAAUCCUAUUUCUACAGGGCUGAUGAGAGCCC